UCCAGCCUGGGCAACAGAGCGAGACUCUGUCUCAAAAAAAAAAAAGAAAAUUGAACAGAGAUUAUAACACUUUUACCAUAUCUAUCCAUUUAUCAUUCCUAAUUUCAUCUAUUACUCUUACUCUUUGGUGUAUUUCAAAGGAAAUUCCAGACCCUAAUAGUUUAAAAAGCUUUUUGUUAUUUCAAUCCUACAGAAGAGUUACGAGAAUAAAGAUGGCACAAAGUACAACUGUAUGCCCUUGACCCCAAUUCACCUGGAGCUCACGUUUACUUCAUUCGUGUCAUCAUCUGCAUGUGCUCCCUCUCUAGAUCUGUAUGGAUAUAAGCACAUUUUUCCUUGGACUUUGUGAGGCGUUGUAAAUGGACGAGCCUGCUUGCUGCAGAGGUAACCCUCGGGACCUGGGACACUGUUUGUUGUAUAACACAGCGUUGUAAAUGGACGAGCCUGCUUGCUGCAGAGGUAACCCUCGGGAAGUCUGGUUCCCCCGAAUUUUACCUGCUCAUCUCUGGGCCAAGGGCAUAAUAUCUCUGCACAGCUAAUAGCCCGAUGGCCACACUAGUCCAGAAGCUCCGCUCUGCACAGAGUUGGAAGUUCAUCUACUUCUCAGUGAACAACAUCAUGAGUUCUUCAAAAUUGAUGCCGGUGUAGGCCAGGUGAGGUGGCUCGUGCCUGUCAUCCCAGCACUUUGUGAGGCCAAGGUGGGCGGACCAUUUGAGGUCAGGA
rnacentral:lncRNA from 1 species